CGACUCAAGUUUUUCGAUUUUUAACGAUAAAUUCCCUUUUUAUAACACGCCUUCAGCUUUCACAGUUUCUUUUACGCCUGCCUUCAGCAUUUCAAAACUUUAUUAACCUAUCACCCGACGUUGGAGUUUUUAACCUGACAUGGUAAACCCACGCCGUUUUCAAAAAUUUCACUUUUUUCUUUAAUCCAAAAUUAUAUUUUUAAUCAUCGGUCCGUCGUAGUUUUUUGUAAGAGAAAUUUUUCCACAUGAUCAUUUUUUCACGUGUUCAUCAUUCUUAGUUUUUGACGUCGUACCUGAAGACGCUUUUAGAAAAAGCGAAACAUUGUUGUACCGAAAUUAGAAAAAAAUAAUAAAUAAUCAUCGUGGA
rnacentral:lncRNA from 1 species